rnacentral:rRNA from 1 species
GACGAACGCUGGCGGCGUGCUUAACACAUGCAAGUCGAACGGAAAGGCCCUGCUUUUGUGGGGUGCUCGAGUGGCGAACGGGUGAGUAACACGUGAGUAACCUGCCCUUGACUUUGGGAUAACUUAAGGAAACUGGGGGUAAUACCGGAUAGGAGUUCCUGCUGCAUGGUGGGGGUUGGAAAGUUUAGGUGGUUGGGGAUGGACUCGCGGCUUAUCAGCUUGUUGGUGGGGUAGUGGCUUACCAAGGCUUUGAAGGGUAGCCGGCCUGAUAGGGUGACCGGCCACGUUGGGACGGGAAUACGGCCCAGACUCCUACGGGAGGCAGCAGUGGGGAGUAGUGCACAAUGGGCGGAAGCCUGAUGCAGCAACGCCGCGUGCGGUAUGACGGCAUUCGGGUUGUAAACCGCUUUCGCCUGUGACGAAGCGUGAGUGACGGUAAUGGGUAAAGAAGCACCGGCUAACUACGUG